rnacentral:rRNA from 1 species
GGGCCCGCACAAGCGGUGGAGCAUGUGGUUUAAUUCGACGCAACGCGAAGAACCUUACCUGGUCUUGACAUCCUGCGAACUUUCUAGAGAUAGAUUGGUGCCUUCGGGAACGCAGUGACAGGUGCUGCAUGGCUGUCGUCAGCUCGUGUCGUGAGAUGUUGGGUUAAGUCCCGUAACGAGCGCAACCCUUGUCCUUAUUUGCCAUCAUUUAGUUGGGCACUCUAGGGAGACUGCCGGUGACAAACCGGAGGAAGGUGGGGAUGACGUCAAAUCAUCAUGCCCCUUAUGUCUUGGGCUUCACGCAUGCUACAAUGGCCGGUACAGAGGGCAGCUACCGGGUGACCGGAUGCGAAUCUCUAAAGCCGAUCUCAGUUCGGAUUGGAGUCUGCAACUCGACUCUAUG